AUGGCCGCUUUAUACCGGUGGCUGGCGUACGCUGGGCGCUGGGUACGCGCCGUGCUCGCCUCGCUGGCUUUGCGGCAUGCCGCAGCUGCCGCGUUUUAAUGGCCAGGAGACUAAAGAGCCUCUACUGACGCCCAUAUAAGCAAGCCACAAGCCUUUCCACCUAUGUGGAUAUCAACUUCAUACGCUUCAAACCAUGUAUGAUAGUCUCUGUUCACGCCAAAUCACGGCCAAAGAAGGCCACAAGCACACUUUACCCAUGGCUGCAGCAGGAAAGGACAAACAGGGAGCACCAAUAGCAGUACAUGGUCCCGUUGCAGUCAUUGACUUUGGGACCCUCGUCUGCAUAUUAUUUGUUGUUUACUUAUUGUUUUUGGAAUGACGAAUAAACUGAACUGAACUGAACAUGUAAA